rnacentral:misc_RNA from 1 species
CCUAGAAGUUAGACCUUAACCGGCUCCUCUCAACCUGCCCAUCGUACCUUUUUGUAGUACCUUCGGGUGCCUCGCGGGUCCGCCGGCCGGAAUUGACAAAACCUUUGAAACCAUUGCAGUAUCGAAUCCGUCUGAUAAAACAUGAAUAGUUCA